UGGUCAUUGCCAAGGCUUUUACAAUGCAGUUUCUGAAUGGCUGUGGACAUGACCUAAAAGAAAAUACCCCGAAUUUUGGCUAUUAUAAACCCAAGUGCCCAAGAACAGAU